GACAGAGGGUGCAAACGUUGUUCGGAAUUACUGGGCGUAAAGCGUGUGUAGGCGGUCUCAUAAGUCGGGUGUGAAAGCCCUGGGCUCAACCCAGGAAGUGCACUCGAUACUGCGAGGCUAGAGUAUCGGAGAGGUUGGUGGAAUUCUCGGUGUAGAGGUGAAAUUCGUAGAUAUCGAGAGGAACACCGGUGGCGAAGGCGGCCAACUGGACGAAUACUGACGCUGAGACACGAAAGCGUGGGGAGCAAACAGG
rnacentral:rRNA from 1 species